rnacentral:tmRNA from 1 species
GGGGGUGCCCCGGAUUCGAUUGUUAUUUGAAAGUAUUACUGCAACACGAAGAGAUGCCAGGCUUCGUUAAAAGGCAUAACGCGAUAAAUGCUAAUAACAUUGUUCGUUUUGAGGACUUCACUGCUUGCGGGGAAGAACUCGCCUUGGCAGCUUAAACAACUGCCACCUCUUACUUUUUGACGCAGAUAAGGAAGAUAAGGGGUCAUCGAUCUGCAAAAACAGAAAAGGUUUACUUGUUCAUAAACUGCAAAUAAUUGUAACAAGAUGUUAGAUGCUUGUAUCACAACACAAAAAAAAAUAAGCUAUGGUUGUAGAAGUAAUAUGGAAUAAUCAACAAGACGCGGGUUCGACUCCCGCCACCUCCACCA